rnacentral:tRNA from 1 species
GCCUCUAUAGUUAAACGGAUAUAACAGCGGUUUCCUAAACCGUCGUUGUCGGUUCGAUUCCGGCUAGGGGUACCA